rnacentral:rRNA from 1 species
CAGCAGCCGCGGGUAUACGUAGGUGGCAAGCGUUGUCCGGAAUUAUUGGGCGUAAAGGGCUCGCAGGCGGUUUCUUAAGUCUGAUGUGAAAGCCCCCGGCUCAACCGGGGAGGGUCAUUGGAAACUGAGAAACUUGAGUGCAGAAGAGGAGAGUGGAAUUCCACGUGUAGCGGUGAAAUGCGUAGAGAUGUGGAGGAACACCAGUGGCGAAGGCGACUCUCUGGUCUGUAACUGACGCUGAGGAGCGAAAGCGUGGGGAGCGAACAGGAUUAGAUACCCCUGUAGUCCCUGUCUCUUAUAC